AUGUUGGGGGCAAAGGUCCCAUGUUUGGGGUCAAAGGUCACUGUUGGGGUCAGGGGUCGUGGGUUGGGGGUCAAAGGUCAUCGGUUUGGGGGCGGAGGGCCCAUAUGUGGGGUCAAAGGUCAACGUUGGGGGUCAAAGGUUGUGGGUUGGGGUCGAAGGCGGUCGUUUGGGGGUCAAAGGUCCCAUAUUUGGGGUCAAANNNNNNNNNNNNNNNNNNNNNGUCGUGGGUUGGGGGGUCAAAGGUCAUCGGUUUGGGGGCGGAGGGUUCAUAUGUGGGGUCAAAGGUCAUCAUUUUGGGGGUCAAAGGUCAGUGAUGGGGUCGAAGGUUGUGAUAUUGGGGGGAAAGGUCCCAUGUUUGGGGUCAAAGGUCGUGGGUUGGGGGUCAAAGGUCACUGUUGGGGUCAAAGGUCGUGGGUUGGGGGGUCGAAGGUCCCAUAUGUGGGGUCAAAGGUUCCAUGUUUGGGGUCAAAGGUCAUCGUUGGGGGUCAAAGGUCAACACUGGGGGUCAAAGGUCGACGUAUUGGAGUUGUAGGCCCCAUAUUCGGGGUCAAAGGUCACAGAUUUGGGGUCAAAGGUCACAGAUUGGGGGUCGAAGGUGGAUUUGGAGGUCAAAGGUCAACUCUGGAGGUCAAAGGUCAACUCUGGGGGUCAAAGGUCAUCGUUGGGGGGUCAAAGGUCAAAGAUUGGAGGGUCAAAGGUCAGAUUUUGGGGUCAAAGGUCAAAGUUGGGGGUCAGAGGUCAACGCUGGGGUCAAAGUUCGUCGCUUGGGGGUCGGAGGUCCCACAUUUGGGGUCAAAGGUCACAGAUUGGGGUCAAGGUGACAGAUUGAAGGUCAAAGGUCAACGUUGGGGUCCAAAGUUCCACAUUUGGGGUCAGAGGUCACGAUUCGGGGGUCAAAGGUCAACAUUGGGGUCAAAGGUCAUCAUUAUGGGGGCAAAAACCCCCACAUUUUGGGGUCAAAGGUCACAAUUGGGGUCAGACUCCAAAUUUGGGGUCAAAGGUCACCAGCCUGGGACACAUUCAGGUCUAUGGGUGUUUGGGGUCAAAGGUCAACACAUUGGGGGGUCAAAGGUCAACAUCGGGGUCAAAGGUCGUCAGGUUGGGUGGGAAAGUCAUCAUUCUGGGGGUCAAAGGUCAACAUUUUGGGGUUCAAGUCCAAAAUUUGGGGUCAGAGGUCACGGAUUGGGGUCAAAGGUCGCCGUAUUUUGGGUGGGGUCAUCACCUGGGGGUCAAAGGUCAAGAUUGAGGGUAAAAGGUCACAUUUUGAGGGGUCAAAGGUCACAGGUCCGGCUCGCAUGGACAUUUUGGGGUCAGAGGUCACGGAUUCGAGGUCAAAGGUCACUGAUUACGGCAGCAAAGGAUGCGGACGUGGGGUCAAAGGUCAGCGAUUCCGGCACCAAAGCUCCGAAGUAAAGCGAUUUUCUCCGAUCGCCGUCUUGCCGACCGGAAGCGUUCCGAAGAGACCGGAAGUAGUCAGAACCGCCGCACGAAGGGAGCCGAAAGGACACGAAGGGGUUUCAUAACACCGAAGGCUCAGCGAAGAUUUCCGAAUUGAGUCGAACGGUUCCGAAAGGAGGCGAAGCGUCCCGAUCUGUUCCCGAAGUGUUCCGAGAAGACCGGAAGUGCUCUGAAAUGCUCGCAGCUGACCCGAAGUAUUCCGAAGUUUUCCGAAGGAACAGGAAGUGCUCGAAACAGUUCCGAAUUGCUCCGAACAGUUCCGAACGCUUCCGAUGUGCUCCGAAGUGACCGGAAGUGCUCCGUAGAGACCGGAAAUGCUCCGAAGAGUUCCGAAAUGAUCCGAACCGCUCUGAAGUCCCCGGAUGUCUUCCGAAAUGACCGGAAGUGCCUCCAGAUGAUACCGAAGUGAGCCGAAGAAAUCCGAUAAGACCGGAAGUGCCCGAAAACCCACCGGAAAUGCAUCGAAAAGAUCGGAACUGAACCGAGGUAUUCCGAAAAGACCGGAAGUGCUAUGCAGGGACCGGAAGUACUCCGAAGAGUUCCGAAGUGAUCCGAAUCGCUCUGAAGUCCCCGGAUGUCUUCCGAAAUGACCGGAAGUGCCUCCAGAUGAUAACGAAGUGAGCCGAACAAAUCCGAAAAGACCGGAAGUGCCCCAAAGCCCACCGGAAAUGCAUCCAAAUGAUCGGAACUGAGCCGAGGUAUUCCGAAAAGACCGGAAGUGCUACUUAGUGACCGGAAGUACUCCGAAAAGUUCCGAAGUGAUCCGAAUCGGUCUAAAGUCCCCGGAUGUCUUCCGAAAUGACCGGAAGUGCCUCCAGAUGAUACCGAAGUGAGCCGAACAAAUCCGAAACGACCGGAAGUGCCCGAAAACCCACCGGAAGUGCAUCGAAAUGAUCGGAACUGACCCGAGUAAUUCCGAAGAGACCGGAAGGGCAUCGUAGGAACCGAAAGUGCUCCGAAAAGUUCCGAAGUUAUCCGAAUCGCUCCGAAGUCCCCGGAUGUGUCCCGAAAUGACCGGAAGUGCCGCGAAACCUCCCCGAAAGUUUCCGAAAAGAGCCGAAGUGCCCUGACGUUCCCUUAAGAAACCCGAAUAGCUCCGAAGCCACCGGAAGUGUUGCGAUCUCCCUCCGAAGUUCUCCGGAAGGACCGGAAGUAGUUCGAAGUCACCGGAAAUGCUCCUGUGAGACCCAAAUUGUUCCGAAUAUCCCCGAAGUUGCGGGAUUUGUUUCAAAAGUUCCCCAAAACUUUUCCGGAGAGAUCAGAAAUGAUUCGAAGCGUUUCGAAAUGCCCGGAUGUCAGCCGAAAGGACCGGAAGUUCCGCCAUCUUUCCUCUUGAAAGGCUUCGAGCGGACCGGAAGUGCCUCAAUUAAGACCUCUUCCACCCGCCCCCCCCAAACCGGAUUAUCCCGAAGUGACCGGAAGCGCUGUGAGCCGCACCCGAAGAUUCCCGAAGUUCUCCGAAGACACCGCAAGUACCUCCAGCCUCCCCCUCACCCGCUCCAACGCGUUUAAGAACGUCUCCGAAUUGGCACGAAGCGUCUGAAAAUGCCCGCAUGUGAUCCGAAACGACCGCAAGUGCCGCCAUCUUUCCUCUCGAAUGGCUGCGAGCGAGCUGGAACUGCCGCCAUCUCGUUUCUCGCCCUGCUUCGAACGGACCGGAAGUGCCGCCAUCUUCCCUGCAGGUUUGUUUUGUGAAGACCGGAAGUGCCGCCAUCUUUCCUUUUGAGUCUCUCUGUACGGACGCAAAGUGCCGCCAUCUUUCCUCUCGAAUCGCAUUGUACGGACCGGAUGUGCCGCCAUCUUUUCUCCUGAACAGCUGCGACGGGACCGGAUGUGCCGCCAUUUUUUCCUGUGACUGGAAAUGCCCCAAUUAAAACCCCAUUUCCGCCCCAAUUUCCGAAGAGCUCUGAGCCGCAUCCGAACUUUCCCGAAGUUCUCCGAAGCCACCGGAAGUGCGCGCGAAACGGCGGCCGAAAGUGAGCUCGGAGCGCGGCGGGCGCCGCUCGAAGCCGAAUCCUCGGUAACGGUGGAGAAAACGACGGAUUUUGGGCGGAAAUGUGUAGAAAAAAAGGUCAAACGUUGUGCUGAGCGCGGCGGUUGUUCGCUGUGAUGGGAGCCAAAGCGGCGGUUGUGUCGGUUGUGGAAAUACGGAUUGCAGUUGGGAUUUCGGGGUGUAAUGUGAAUAAAAAAGGCGAAUUCAGGCGCGCUUUGUGGGAA
ensembl:lncRNA